ensembl:lncRNA
CUCUCUCUCCCUCAGGCUGGAAUUGUAUGAUUGUGAAGACAUCGCGAACCUUAAAGGUUGAGAAGUGAACGGAUUAUACGGCGAACUGAGACGACGUGAAAAAGGGGAUUGGAAGCGGCAUUGAUGUGAGUACUAAGAGCCAGUCGAAAGUGCCCUGUAUAUUGACCUGGCGUUGUGUAGAUCUCUCCAGGAGGAGGAGGGCGGCCCUACCCCUAAUAUAGCGUGGUGGGAGAGCCGAAGGAAUACUUAUUGAAGUAGUCACAACGACGACAUCACUAGCUAGGCCGCAUAUUCCAUCGCCAGAUCCGAACCAAGCGAAGUGAAGGAAGACGGGUGUCCUUUUCGUACACUGAGUGUGGUGGGUGAGUCUUCGUGCUGUGAAAACCUAUAAUUUUGACGUGGUGUUGUAUAUUGCUGUGGGCUGCUGUGUAUUGCCGUGUGUCCUGUCAGAUAAACCCCCGCCUUCACGCACUUCGUCGCGGGAGGACAAGGAGACUGCUGGUCCUAGCCUAGUUCAGUACAGUAUAUGUUGUGAGCGUGCUUCAGAUCUCCGGAGAUAGCACGGUACGCUGUGUCCAGCCCAGAGGUGAAAGCCAUCCAAAGCAGAGUAACUGUGCUUUGUGUCCAAGUUGAUACCUGUGGAGAGGAAAGGAAAGAGAGAUUGAUACCUGUGGAGAGAAAAGGAGAGAGAGUGGGUAACACGAGGAGAGACCGAGGAAACCUGUACUUACGCCGCUGCCUGUGGAGAAAGAGAAAGCGACCGUUGCCUGUGGAGGAAGAGAAAGAGAGUGAGCACCCCGAGAACGAACUGUGUGAACCAGUACUUACCGUGAGCUGUAUUCAGCGAAGAGGAGGAAGAAGGAGGGCGCUACGGAUACCUAAGACUCAGGCCGGGGCCCGAGUCCCACGCCCCGGAUCCCCGUGGCCCCCUUGCUCCCUGACCUCUUCCCGGCCAUAGCCCAUCUGGAGGGCCGAGUCAGAGUUUAGUUUUAAUUGCCCUUUCCCUAUUCCCCAAGCUAUUUUUAAAUAUUUAAAUAAAGAUUGUUUUAUCACUUACUUGUUCUCGUGU